GAUGAACGCUAGCGGCAGGCCUAAUACAUGCAAGUCGAACGGGAUUAAGAGGCUUGCUUCUUAUGAAAGUGGCGCACGGGUGCGUAACGCGUAUGCAACCUACCUUAAUCAGGGGGAUAGCCCGAAGAAAUUCGGAUUAAGACCGCAUAAAAACACAGGAUAGCAUUAUCCAAUGUUCAAAUAUUUAUAGGAUUAAGAUGGGCAUGCGUGUCAUUAGCUAGUUGGCGGGGUAACGGCCCACCAAGGCGACGAUGACUAGGGGAUCUGAGAGGAUGACCCCCCACACUGGUACUGAGACACGGACCAGACUCCUACGGGAGGCAGCAGUAAGGAAUAUUGGUCAAUGGAGGGAACUCUGAACCAGCCAUGCCGCGUGCAGGAAGACAGCCCUCUGGGUCGUAAACUGCUUUUAUUCGGGAAUAAACCUUUCUACGUGUAGGAAGCUGAAUGUACCGAAGGAAUAAGGAUCGGCUAACUCCGUG
rnacentral:rRNA from 1 species